CUCUUUCUCCUCGUCAAACU
rnacentral:piRNA from 1 species